AGAGUUUGAUCCUGGCUCAGGACGAACGCUGGCGGCGUGCUUAACACAUGCAAGUCGAGCGAUGAGAUCCCUUCGGGGAUGGAUUAGCGGCGAACGGGUGAGGAACACGUGAGGAAUCUGCCUUCUACACUGGGAUAACUCCGGGAAACCGGGGCUAAUACCGGAUAUGAAACUCGGUGGCAUCACUGAGUUUGGAAAGUUUUUCGGUAGAAGAUGACCUCGCGGCCUAUCAGCUUGUUGGUGAGGUAAUGGCUCACCAAGGCGACGACGGGUAGCCGGCCUGAGAGGGCGACCGGCCACACUGGGACUGAGACACGGCCCAGACUCCUACGGGAGGCAGCAGUGGGGAAUAUUGGGCAAUGGAGGAAACUCUGACCCAGCGACGCCGCGUGCGGGAUGAAGGCCUUCGGG
rnacentral:rRNA from 1 species